CCUGUCCCUAGAGGCAUUGCAGGUAUAGCUUCUUUGUCACAAGUGUCUGUGUAGGGGGCACAGGGGAGACAGGGUGUGUACAUACUCAGUAUUCUGACCUAUGAACAUCUGAAUGAUUAGUAGACUAACAGU